rnacentral:rRNA from 1 species
AUACGGGCGGAGCAAGCGUUGUUCGGAUUUAUUGGGUGUAAAGGGUGCGCAGGCGGUCGACUAAGUCGGAGGUGAAAUGUCUACGGCUCAACCGAGAAAUUGCCUCCGAUACUGGUCGACUUGAGUGUGGGAGGGGAGCGUGGUAUUCCUGGUGUAGCGGUGAAAUGCGUAGAUAUCAGGAGGAACACCUGUGGCGAAGGCGACGCUCUGGCCCGCAACUGACGCUCAGGCACGAAAGCCAGGGGAGCGAACGGGAUUAGAAACCCUUGUAGUCC